rnacentral:lncRNA from 1 species
GUGUGCCACUGCAUCUGGCUAGCCCUUGUUUUUGAACACUCACAUCAUGUAAUAUUAACCAUGGAGUAAAUUACAAAUUAAAUUCCAGAUCUCAUUUAGAUCUAGGUCUUUUUCCAGAUCUAAGGACUGUUUUUCAAAUACUCUUCUGAGAUGUUAAAUGAAGAGGUGACAGAAUUAGUGUGGCAAGAUACAGCAAUUACUUCCCCUUCUGAAACAAGUCUUCCCAUUCUGACAAUGUUAAUUCAAAUAAAUUACUAUGAGCUGGACCAUGCAUUUGACACACAAAGUACAGAAUUUUUAAACAAUAAAGAUAAUCUAGACCAGGAAUACCUAACUAGAUCCACAAGCCAAAUCUGUUUUAUAGCCUGAUUUUGUAAAUACAGUUUUACCAGAAACUAGCCACACCCAUUUAUAUUGUAUGGAUAACCUGAAUAGCAGAGUUUGGUGGUUAAAACAUAAAUAAUACAAUUUUAAAACACAAAAAUAUUUACUACUUGGCCCUUCACAUAUUUUAAAAAAAAAUUGUUGAUCCCAGGUAUAAACCAGAAAUCUUAUUUGCAAUGCCCCAAAUUAAGUUUUGGGGGGCAACAUAUUUGGUAGAAAACUUGAACUAACCUGAAAUCUUUUGGUAGCAAUGGCAUAAAUUCACCCAAAUUAACAAGAGGGUGUUUGUAGUUUUUACUUACCCCUCUGGGAAUAUUUAUAUGAUUUGCUACAGAAAUAGUGAUGUGCCUUGCUACAAAGGGCUCGCCUAGACCCCACUGAUGUUGUUAUAAAUACAUACCCCAUUCAGUAUUCAUUUCCCU